rnacentral:misc_RNA from 1 species
CUAGUUUCUCCCCCAUCUUCUUCCCUAUUUCUAGCAUUCUCGCUCUUCUUCCUAUUCUCCUUGGCUUUGCGUCAUCUUCUUCAGCGUUAUGAUUUUCCUGCCCAGAUGAUAAGCUGCUUAUAGACCUAGAUGGUGAUUGAUUCUCUUGGGCGAACUCUCUAUUUUGCUGGAAAAUUUCUACUGCUUGGUCAUUUUCUAAUAAAGGGAUUUUCAUUUCAUUUUCGUCCGAUGUCUUUUUUGUAGCUGGAGCUGGAUUAGCAGUACUUGAUGAAG